GACGAACGCUGGCGGCGUGCUUAACACAUGCAAGUCGAACGAUGAAGCCGGAGCUUGCUCUGGUGAAUUAGUGGCGAACGGGUGAGUAACACGUGAGUAACCUGCCCUUGACUCUGGGAUAACUGCGGGAAACUGUAGCUAAUACCGGAUACGACCCUCGGAGGCAUCUCCUGGGGGUGGAAAGAAUUUCGGUCAAGGAUGGACUCGCGGCCUAUCAGCUAGUUGGUGGGGUAAAGGCUCACCAAGGCGACGACGGGUAGCCGGCCGGAGAGGGUGACCGGCCACACUGGGACUGAGACACGGCCCAGACUCCUACGGGAGGCAGCAGUGGGGAAUAUUGCACAAUGGGCGCAAGCCUGAUGCAGCAACGCCGCGGGAGGGAUGACGGCCUUCGGGUUGUAAACCUCUUUUAGCAGGGAAGAAGCGAAAGUGACGGUACCUGCAGAAAAAGCACCGGCUAACUACGUGCCAGCAGCCGCCGUAA
rnacentral:rRNA from 1 species